AGCAGUCGCCGCGGUAAUACGUAGGGUGCAAGCGUUAAUCGGAAUUACUGGGCGUAAAGCGUGCGCAGACGGUUCGUUAAGACAGAUGUGAAAUCCCCGGGCUUAACCUGGGAACUGCAUUUGUGACUGGCGGGCUAGAGUAUGGCAGAGGGGGGUAGAAUUCCACGUGUAGCAGUGAAAUGCGUAGAGAUGUGGAGGAAUACCGAUGGCGAAGGCAGCCCCCUGGGCCAAUACUGACGCUCAUGCACGAAAGCGAGGGGAGCAAACAGGAUUAGAUACCCCAGUAGUCCCUGUCUCUUAUAC
rnacentral:rRNA from 1 species